AUAUAUCGAGACUCGUGCUUGUUUACUUUUUUCUUGCGUUGGUAAGGUAUUCUUGUGCUUGUUUCCUCAUUUAUCUGGUUGCAUAAAAUGAUCUCUGAUUGAGUGGCUUCUGCGGAACAGUCAUCUACUUAGAAAUUUAAACAAGUAUUUGAUUUUAGUGGCUCAAUUGGUAAUUUUAAUAUUUUGAUUGAGGUCCUGCUGUAGUGCUGUUUCAGUUUCGUCUAUAGAAAUUUUCAAUAUAUAUGCCCUUUUGGAGCUCUGCUAUCCUCAGAUAUUUUCUUUUGUAGAGAUUUUUUAUUGUCUUUUACUGACCUUGUAGGUCCAUAGGGAAAAUAAGUUCUCAUAUCACCUCAUAAUAACGUGAGAUGUGUGCUUAGAAAUAAAUAUCUUUUUAGGGAACUCAUAUUAUGAUAUAAUUUAAGAUAUGAUAGAAUAGUUGAAUAAGUGACUUUCAACUUGAUUUUCUUAAAGGAGAUGCUCAUCAUAUAAUAUCUUGAUUGAGGUCCUGCUGUAGUGCUGUUUCAGUUUCGUCUAUAGAAAUUUUCAAUAUAUAUGCCCUUUUGGAGCUCUGCUAUCCUCAGA
rnacentral:lncRNA from 1 species